ACUAAUUUUAAUGAAUGCAGUCUGUGUCAGAUUAUAUCUUGUUAGACUUCAGUUUAUGUUUCACAGAUGAAUAAUGACUAAAACCUCCUGUUCAUUUGCUUGUGCAUUCAAGACAUUUCAGAGGGCAAGUUAACCUCAGUGACAGAGUAUGCGGUAUUUCCUGAUGGACUCUUACAUUGUAGAAGGAAGUUUCUGGUGAAAAUGUGGGACAGGCAUUGGAAUCCAGUCACUAAAGCUUAUGUGAAUGGACCCAGAGCAUUGACUCCAGAGGAACCUGGUACAUGGCCACCUGUACUACAGGCCCCAGAACUACUGGGAGAGGUCAGCCUGUGGUAGCUGCAGGAAAGCCCUUGCCUCUCGGUGAGGCAGAUGGCUUGCCAGCAUCACAUGCUUGCUGGCUGGGGCAGAGCCAGAAGUCACACAUUGCCAGAUCUGGUGAAUAAGGUGCAGGAGGCCAUACCACCAUGUUUUUAUGAGCCUGC